UUAAGCCCCAGUAAACGGCGGCCGUAACUAUAACGGUCCUAAGGUAGCGAAAUUCCUUGUCGGGUAAGUUCCGACCCGCACGAAAGGCGUAAUGAUUUGGGCACUGUCUCAACAAUGCACCCGGUGAAAUUGAAAUACCAGUGAAGAUGCUGGUUACCUGCGCCAGGACGGAAAGACCCCAUGGAGCUUUACUCCAGCUUGAUACUGGGAUUCGGUAUUGCAUGUACAGGAUAGGUGGGAGGCUAGGAAGUGAUAACGCCAGUUGUCACGGAGCCGCUGUUGGGAUACCACCCUUGCAGUAUUGGAUUUCUAACCAGCGACCAUGAACUGGUCGGGGGACAAUGUCAGGUGGGGAGUUUGACUGGGGCGGUCGCCUCCGAAAGGGUAUCGGAGGCGCUCAAAGGUUCCCUCAGAAUGGACGGAAACCAUUCGAAGAGUGCAAAGGCAGAAGGGAGCUUGACUGCGACACCGACGGGUGGAGCAGGUACGAAAGUAGGACUUAGUGAUCCGGUGGUAUAAAGUGGGAUUGCCAUCGCUCAACGGAUAAAAGCUACCCUGGGGAUAACAGGCUUAUCACUCCCAAGAGUUCACAUCGACGGAGUGGUUUGGCACCUCGAUGUCGGCUCAUCGCAUCCUGGGGCUGAAGUAGGUCCCAAGGGUUGGGCUGUUCGCCCAUUAAAGCGGUACGCGAGCUGGGUUCAGAACGUCGUGAGACAGUUCGGUCCCUAUCCGGCGUGGGCGUAGGAUAUCUGAGAGGAGCUGUCCUUAGUACGAGAGGACCGGGAUGGACGGGCCGCUGGUGCAUCGGUUAGACUGCCAAGUCUACGGCCGAGUAGCCAAGCCCGGAAGGGAUAAACGCUGAAGGCAUCUAAGCGUGAAGCCCCCCUUAAGAUGAGAUAUCCCAUUCGUUAAGAAGUAAACCCCCUUGAAGACGACGAGGUAGAUAGGGCAGAGGUGGAAGUGUGGCAACACAUGGAGCUGACUGUUACUAAU
rnacentral:rRNA from 1 species